rnacentral:rRNA from 1 species
GCCCCUUGCGGGGUCAGUCUCGUCGUAGUAGUAUCGAGUCUUGAGUUUACUAUAAACUCUUAAAAGUAUCAGAAUGUGUAUUGUGAUGUAACGCUCCUAUAUACAACUUUCAGCAACGGAUCUCUUGGCUCUCGCAUCGAGAAAGAACGCAGCGAAAUGCGAUAAGUAAUGUGAAUUGCAGAAUUCAGUGAAUCAUCGAAUCUUUGAACGCACCUUGCGCUCCUUGGUAUUCCGAGGAGCAUGCCUGUUUGAGUGUCAUGAAAUUCUCAACCUAACGGGUUCUUAACCGGACUUGCUUAGGCUUGGACUUGGAGGCUUUGUCGGCUUGCUUAUGUCGAGUCGGCUCCUCUCAAAUGCAUUAGCUUGGUUCCUUUGCGGAUCGGCUCACGGUGUGAUAAUUGUCUACGCCGCGACCGUUGAAGCGUUUUAAUGGCCAGCUUCUAAUCGUCUCUUGCGAGACAACAUUCAUCGAACUCUGACCUCAA